UUUUUCCAGUCUUUGCUGCAAAAGCAUUCAGAUCUUCUACCACUUCUAACUAGUGUAAACCGUUCUAAAGCAAAAAAGCUUACAAAGAGAGGUUAUAUGGUGUGGAGGAAAAUUAUUUUACUUUUAGGAGGAUCUAUUCCUAACAAAAACAAUGAAAUGGAGCAGAUGAAUGAUUCAUCUGAUGUGAUGCCAAAGAAAAGGAAAUCAUCAAAACAAAGUAAAAAGACGAAGAGAAGGCAUAUAGACGUUAUUUCAAAUAUGGAAAUUGAAAACAGUGAAAAUGAUGAUGAAAACAGCUAAUUUGUGUACACUUUUUAAAACUGUUAAUAAAAUAUUUAUUAUUUUGUUUAAAAA